AUGACCUAUGCCCAUGAGAGAAAAAUGGCACAACCAUUGGAAAGAGAACAGUGAUCCAGAGGUUGAAAGACUUCAGUUUUGUUUGGGCUUCACUAUUAAGUGAAGAUUGGCACUGACAGUAAGUCAAAAUUUCCCAGCAGCAGCUGCAUCACCAUGGGAUAAUUUAAGCCUGCUGUAUUUGGCAGCCUGGGCUAGAGUGACAACAAAAGCAAAGGGCAGUGCAAUUGGGGAAAGUGAUUUUAAAAACACCACCGCCACCACCAUCAGUACUCCUGCCGAGGGGCCAGAGCUUUCUGUGAGGAGCAUUUACUCUGAUCUGCCUGGCUCCUCUAUGAGACUGUCCCCUCUCCCCCACCAUGGGCAGGGAGGCUGGUCCCUCAUUAGUGUUUUCUGUGCAGUUGUCUCACAACUGCCUUCCCUUAGACUGUUCAGCAGAAGAGUAGUUUCAAUCACUGAAGACGCUGGUCUAAAUCUUAGCAAUCAAAGUCUAACAUUUUCUGGAGAAGUGUUCAGUGUCCUGCGCUGUUACAGCUAAGGGUACAAACACAGCUGGUGAAUCCUUUCUGCCAGUGGCAAGCAAUGACAAAGGUAUCCAAGCAGGCGAGAAAGCAAAUGUGCAAGAGGAUAUUAGGACAGUUACUUCAGAAAACUCCUCAGUUUUAAGGAUUUUACAAUUGUCUUGCUUCCCAGAUUUACAAUGCCUGCACAAGAAAGAAUGAGGAAGAGAAGGAAAGAACUGUGUUAUCUGCUGUCCCUUUUGGCUGGGCACUGAUCCAUUCAGAAAACUGGCUCUGCACAGUGCUGUGUGAAGUCAGAACCACUAAGUUUACAGAAGAUCCAGAACAGACUGGAGUUUUGGUGAUGCAGCGAAAUAGGAAGAGCAUAAUUGAUGAGAUCUAUUGCUGAAUAUUUCUACUAGCAGGCAGGACAGUGGCCUGACAGGUGUAGAACUGACUACAUCUGGCCUGGAG